UUAAGUGACUAAGCGUACACGGUGGAUGCCUGGGCAGUCAGAGGCGAUGAAGGACGUACUAACUUGCGAUAAGCGCAGAUAAGGCAGUAAGAGCCGUUUGAGUCUGCGAUUUCCGAAUGGGGAAACCCAACUGCAUAAGCAGUUACUGUUAACUGAAUACAUAGGUUAACAGAGCAAACCGGGGGAACUGAAACAUCUAAGUACCCCGAGGAGAAGAAAUCAACCGAGAUUCCGGUAGUAGCGGCGAGCGAACCUGGAUUAGCCCUUAAGCACUCGGUGAAGUAGGUGAACAAGCUGGAAAGCUUGGCGAUACAGGGUGAUAGCCCCGUAACCGACGCUUCAUCGAGCGUGAAAUCGAGUAGGGCGGGACACGUGAUAUCCUGUCUGAAUAUGGGGGGACCAUCCUCCAAGGCUAAAUACUCCUGACUGACCGAUAGUGAACCAGUACCGUGAGGGAAAGGCGAAAAGAACCCCUGUGAGGGGAGUGAAAUAGAACCUGAAACCGUGUACGUACAAGCAGUAGGAGCACCUUCGUGGUGUGACUGCGUACCUUUUGUAUAAUGGGUCAGCGACUUAUAUUCAGUGGCAAGGUUAACCGUAUAGGGGAGCCGUAGCGAAAGCGAGUCUUAACUGGGCGCUCAGUCUCUGGAUAUAGACCCGAAACCGGGUGAUCUAGCCAUGGGCAGGUUGAAGGUUGAGUAACAUCAACUGGAGGACCGAACCGACUAAUGUUGAAAAAUUAGCGGAUGACUUGUGGCUAGGGGUGAAAGGCCAAUCAAACUCGGAGAUAGCUGGUUCUCCCCGAAAGCUAUUUAGGUAGCGCCUCGGACGAAUACUACUGGGGGUAGAGCACUGUUAAGGCUAGGGGGUCAUCCCGACUUACCAACCCUUUGCAAACUCCGAAUACCAGUAAGUACUAUCCGGGAGACACACGGCGGGUGCUAACGUCCGUCGUGGAGAGGGAAACAACCCAGACCGCCAGCUAAGGUCCCAAAGUAUUGCUAAGUGGGAAACGAUGUGGGAAGGCUCAGACAGCUAGGAUGUUGGCUUAGAAGCAGCCAUCAUUUAAAGAAAGCGUAAUAGCUCACUAGUCGAGUCGGCCUGCGCGGAAGAUGUAACGGGGCUAAGCAAUACACCGAAGCUGCGGCAAUGAAGUUUACUUCAUUGGGUAGGGGAGCGUUCUGUAAGCCGUUGAAGGUGAAUCGUAAGGUUUGCUGGAGGUAUCAGAAGUGCGAAUGCUGACAUGAGUAACGACAAAGGGGGUGAAAAACCUCCUCGCCGGAAGACCAAGGGUUCCUGUCCAACGUUAAUCGGGGCAGGGUGAGUCGACCCCUAAGGUGAGGCCGAAAGGCGUAAUCGAUGGGAAACGGGUUAAUAUUCCCGUACUUCUGACUAUUGCGAUGGGGGGACGGAGAAGGCUAGGUGGGCCAGGCGACGGUUGUCCUGGUUCAAGUGCGUAGGCUUGAGAGUUAGGUAAAUCCGGCUCUCUUUAAGGCUGAGACACGACGUCGAGCUGCUACGGCAGUGAAGUCAUUGAUGCCAUGCUUCCAGGAAAAGCCUCUAAGCUUCAGAUAGUCAGGAAUCGUACCCCAAACCGACACAGGUGGUCGGGUAGAGAAUACCAAGGCGCUUGAGAGAACUCGGGUGAAGGAACUAGGCAAAAUGGUACCGUAACUUCGGGAGAAGGUACGCUCUUGAUGGUGAAGUCCCUCGCGGAUGGAGCUGACGAGAGUCGCAGAUACCAGGUGGCUGCAACUGUUUAUUAAAAACACAGCACUGUGCAAAAUCGCAAGAUGACGUAUACGGUGUGACGCCUGCCCGGUGCCGGAAGGUUAAUUGAUGGGGUUAGCGCAAGCGAAGCUCUUGAUCGAAGCCCCGGUAAACGGCGGCCGUAACUAUAACGGUCCUAAGGUAGCGAAAUUCCUUGUCGGGUAAGUUCCGACCUGCACGAAUGGCGUAAUGAUGGCCACGCUGUCUCCACCCGAGACUCAGUGAAAUUGAAAUCGCUGUGAAGAUGCAGUGUACCCGCGGCUAGACGGAAAGACCCCGUGAACCUUUACUACAGCUUGGCACUGAACAUUGAACCUACAUGUGUAGGAUAGGUGGGAGGCUAUGAAGACGUGACGCCAGUUGCGUUGGAGCCGUCCUUGAAAUACCACCCUUGUAUGUUUGAUGUUCUAACUUAGACCCAUUAUCUGGGUUGAGGACAGUGCCUGGUGGGUAGUUUGACUGGGGCGGUCUCCUCCCAAAGAGUAACGGAGGAGCACGAAGGUGGGCUAAUCACGGUUGGACAUCGUGAGGUUAGUGCAAUGGCAUAAGCCCGCUUAACUGCGAGAAUGACGGUUCGAGCAGGUGCGAAAGCAGGUCAUAGUGAUCCGGUGGUUCUGUAUGGAAGGGCCAUCGCUCAACGGAUAAAAGGUACUCCGGGGAUAACAGGCUGAUACCGCCCAAGAGUUCAUAUCGACGGCGGUGUUUGGCACCUCGAUGUCGGCUCAUCACAUCCUGGGGCUGAAGUCGGUCCCAAGGGUAUGGCUGUUCGCCAUUUAAAGUGGUACGCGAGCUGGGUUUAGAACGUCGUGAGACAGUUCGGUCCCUAUCUGCCGUGGGCGUUGGAAGAUUGAAGGGGGCUGCUCCUAGUACGAGAGGACCGGAGUGGACGAACCUCUGGUGUUCGGGUUGUGUCGCCAGACGCAUUGCCCGGUAGCUAAGUUCGGAAUUGAUAAGCGCUGAAAGCAUCUAAGCGCGAAGCGAGCCCUGAGAUGAGUCUUCCCUGAUACUUUAAGUAUCCUAAAGGGUUGUUCGAGACUAGAACGUUGAUAGGCAGGGUGUGUAAGCGUUGUGAGGCGUUGAGCUAACCUGUACUAAUUGCCCGUGAGGCUUAACCAU
rnacentral:rRNA from 1 species